GUGGGGAAUUUUGGACAAUGGGCGAAAGCCUGAUCCAGCCAUGCCGCGUGCAGGAUGAAGGCCUUCGGGUUGUAAACUGCUUUUGUACGGAACGAAAAGACUCUGGUUAAUACCUGGGGUCCAUGACGGUACCGUAAGAAUAAGCACCGGCUAACUACGUGCCAGCAGCCGCGGUAAUACGUAGGGUGCAAGCGUUAAUCGGAAUUACUGGGCGUAAAGCGUGCGCAGGCGGUUAUAUAAGACAGAUGUGAAAUCCCCGGGCUCAACCUGGGAACUGCAUUUGUGAGUGUAUAGCUAGAGUACGGCAGAGGGGGAUGGAAUUCCGCGUGUAGCAGUGAAAUGCGUAGAUAUGCGGAGGAACACCGAUGGCGAAGGCAAUCCCCUGGGCCUGUACUGACGCUCAUGCACGAAAGCGUGGGGAGCAAACAGGAUUAGAAACCCCGGUAGUCC
rnacentral:rRNA from 1 species